rnacentral:lncRNA from 1 species
UUUUUUUUUUCUAAAUCUUUUUCUCGUAGAUUCGCAUCUUAUAACCUGAAAAUUCUUUAUCUUUUACUCAUUUAAUUUGUAGGCAUUAAUCUAGUAUGUCUGACCCCUUCAUUAGGUAUCACCAUAUUCUGUCACUUCACUCAGCCGACAGUAAUUAAUGUCCGAUAGUAUUUUCUUACUAUAUAUAAAAAUUACGCAAAUGUAUUGAAUUUUGAUUCGCUUAGUCUACAGACGUGAUCCAUAAAAUUUAUCCACAAUGAAGCCUAUA